rnacentral:rRNA from 1 species
UACGGAGGAUUCAAGCGUUAUCCGGAUUUAUUGGGUUUAAAGGGUGCGCAGGCGGUCUGUUAAGUCAGCGGUCAAAGCCCGGGGCUCAACCCCGGCCCGCCGUUGAAACUGGCGUUCUUGAGUGAGCGAGAAGUAUGCGGAAUGCGUGGUGUAGCGGUGAAAUGCAUAGAUAUCACGCAGAACUCCGAUUGCGAAGGCAGCAUACCGGCGCUCAACUGACGCUCAUGCACGAAGGCGUGGGUAUCGAACAGG